rnacentral:lncRNA from 1 species
AUGAAAGCAGGAGGCAUAAAAGAAAGCCUCCAAAGCAUCAUAAAAGGUCUUAUCCUAAACGAAAGACUUCCUAUAAGGAUCCCUAUAAGGAAUCAAAUAAAUCGCGUCGAAAAACCAGACGCAAGGUUUCCUCAAAAUCCAAGGAUACUUGUUGGACUUGCGGCAAAACAGGCCAUCGAGCCAAAGAUUGCACAUCAGGCAAAAAGAAGAAAAUAAAUCUUCUCGAUUUGACUGAUGAAACCAAGGAAAAGCUCUUCUCUAUAAUGGAAGAUCCCUCCGAAGCAUCUGACUCUUAUUCUUCUUCCGAGGAUGAAUACAGCGACGAAGAUUACAUCAACGCCGCUUACGAGUCUGAUAGCUCCCAAACCGGGCAAGACUGUGAGUGCAAUAGCACUUUCUGCACCUGCACCCGUAAAACCAUCAAUGUCAUUUCAGACAAACCAAAAGAAAUCUUGUUUGACAUCAUAGAACAUAUCGAUGAUGAAGAACUCAGACAUAAGUAUCUCCAAGAACUUAAGCGCCUUGUGCUUUCUUCCGAUGAAGGCACUUCCAAACCUAAACCUGUUGUUCAGCCUUUCUCCAUGACUAGAGUAAUGGCAAAGUUCAAACCUCCCUCUGAGCCCUCUAUCGCAGACCUCAAAGGAGAGGUCUCUACAUUAAAAAGUGAGAUCAAAAAUCUGAAGACUCGCCUUGAUCAAGUAGAGCUACACGUUCUGACUGAUCAAAUCCUGCAUACCGCUUCACCAACAGCUCUUCCCCCUACAUCUCAGGCACUCAGCCCCCCUACUGAUCAUCUCCAAGAGCCAAUGUCUUUUCCGGGAGAAGAUGCUUCGACUAUCCCAUCUACGUCUGCAGCAAUCGCAGCCAUCAAGGCUUAUAGCGAACAUAUUGCUGUUAAGAUCGUUAUUGCCAAAGACUUUGUAUUAAACAAAGUAGCCCUUUUUGAUACCGGCGCUGACAGUAAUUGUAUUGUCAAAGGCCUUAUUCCCACUCGGUAUCUCCAAAAGAGUACCUCCAAGCUAUACUCAGCCACGGGUGAAAAAAUGCGAAUUGAUUACCAACUUCGCCAAGCUCAUAUCUGUAAUAACGGCGUAUGCCUUAUUAAUGAUUUUGUCAUUACUGAAGAUAUCACUGAAGAUAUCAUACUUGGCAUCCCCUUUAUCAACCAGAUCAGACCUUACCAAAGUAAUUACGAUGGUAUUCGGACCACCUUGAUGGACACUGAUCUGUUUUUCCCUUUACUUCGGCCGCUCUCCUCUCAUGAGCAGCAGCGUAUCAAAGACGAAACCGUCUUUAAGAUCAAUCGUCUUUCCUCUCAUCUUGCCUUUCUACAGCACGAUAUUCAGCUCAAACGUAUUGAGCACACUUUAAACACCCCGGAGAUGGUUAGCAAAAUUUCCACUCUCCAGCAAAAGUUUGAAAACGAGAUUUGCUCCGAAUUGCCAAACGCCUUUUGGGAACGCAAACGACACCUCGUUGAACUUCCAUACAUAUCUGGCUUCGAUGAACAAAACAUCCCCACUAAAGCCAGACCAAUCCAAAUGAAUCAUGAGAUGAUGGAAAUCUGUAAAACAGAAAUCAAUCAUCUUCUUGAAAAAGGAAUUAUCCGCCCUUCUAACUCUCCAUGGAGUUGCUCAGCAUUUUAUGUAAAUAACAGUGCUGAAAAAGAAAGAGGAACACCCAGGCUUGUAAUAAAUUAUAAGCCACUAAAUGCAGUCUUAAAAUGGAUUAGACAUCCUAUUCCCAACAAAAGGGAUCUUUUAAAGCGAACUUAUAAAGCUAACCUUUAUAGCAAGUUCGAUAUGAAAUCAGGCUUCUGGCAAAUUCAGAUUGCCGAAAAGGAUAAAUAUAAGACGGCAUUCAAUGUUCCUUUUGGACAUUAUGAAUGGAAUGUCUUACCCUUCGGGCUUAAGAAUGCCCCUUCAGAAUUCCAAAAUAUUAUGAAUAACAUUUUUAAUGAUUAUUCUUAUAUGACCAUUGUUUAUAUUGACGAUGUGUUAAUCUUUUCUGAGAAUAUUGAUUCUCAUUUUAAACAUCUUAACACUUUCUUUAAGAUUGUCAAAUUAAAUGGUUUGGUAGUAAGCGCUAAAAAAAUGCAGCUCUUCCAGACUUCUAUCCGAUUUCUAGGACAUGAUCUGCACCAAGGAAGUCACAAGCCCAUCUGUAGAGCCAUAGAAUUCUCUACUAAAUUUCCUGAUGAAAUUACUGACAAAACGCAACUUCAAAGGUUCUUAGGAAGCCUAAAUUAUGUUGCUGACUUUAUUCCUAACGUUAGGCAGGUCUGUGAACCCCUUUAUCAGCGUCUCAAGAAAAAUCCAAUUCCUUGGGGUCCUGAGCAAACAAAAGCGAUCGUCAAGGUCAAGUCUUUGGUUAAAAACCUUCCCUGCCUAGGAAUCCCCAAUCCUGAUGCUUUUAUGAUUGUUGAAACAGAUGCUUCAGACCUAGGGUAUGGAGGUAUCCUGAAGCAAAAGAUGAGUGAACAGUCGUCAGAACAAUUAGUACGUUUUACCUCAGGAGUUUGGAAUUCUGCCCAGAGGAAUUACAGUACAGUUAAAAAAGAAGUUUUAUCUAUAGUGCUAUGUAUCACUAAAUUCCAGGAUGACCUUAUUAAUAAGGAAUUUCUUCUAAGAGUUGAUUGUAAAUCAGCCAAAGAGAUUUUACAAAAAGAUGUUAAAAAUCUCGUUUCUAAACAGAUAUUUGCUAGAUGGCAAGCUCUCCUAUCUAGCUUUGAUUUUCAAAUUGAAUUCAUAAAAGGAGAACACAAUUCCCUUCCCGAUUUUCUGACAAGAGAAUUUCUACAGGGCCAUGAGACCAACACUGCCGGGCAACAGCCCCAAGACGGAACAACAAAGAAUGGCUAGACCAUUCGAUUCUCCAAAUCCAGCCUCAAAUCCUUUACGGCCCACAGUACCACAGAGGCCGACCAUCAAGACAGAAACUCCCAACCGAUUCUCUGCUUUGACAGAAAUACAAUUUCCCAAAUUAUCUCCACCAAUGCCCACGAAGUUGGUAGACCUCAAGACAAAUUUGCCUCUGGAAAAAGGAUCGUCUGCGGCAAGCUCUUCCUCCAUCCAGACCAAACAGAGCUAUGCCAUGAAGGCCCCUGAGACCUUCGCUCAGGCGGUAAAUCCUGCUGCUGCCACAGUUACUCCUCCCUCUCCCACCAAAGAGGAAUUCAAAUUUAUUACUUCCACUGUAAUGCCUAUCAUUUCUCUCGAUAAGGCUUACGAAGGAUACCCGGUCAACCAGUUAAUCAGGCCGAUAUAUACUACUAAUAACUUUGUGGAUACAGAAGAUCCACUCAAGACUCGCAGAUAUUACGAAGCUAUUCUGGUCGACACGGAUUCGAUCGAAGUAGAACAUUCACUGGAUAACAACAAUCCAGAUUAUAUCAGUUAUUCUAAAUUCACCAUAAAAAGGAUAUUAACUCCUUUUAAUUGGUUUGUUGAUCAUUUACACACCCCCAUCGCUCUAUCUAUGCCACACAGGCCUCAAACCUACAACUGGCA